rnacentral:rRNA from 1 species
GACGAACGCUGGCGGCGUGCUUAACACAUGCAAGUCGAACGGAAAGGCCCAGUUUGCGGGGUACUCGGGUGGGGAACGGGUGAGUAACAGGUGGGUGAUCUGCCCCUGACUUUGGGAUAAGCCUGGGAAACUGGGUCUAUUACGGGAUAUUCAUUUUUCCGCGCAGGGGGAGUGGUGGAAAGCUUUUGCGGUUGGGGAUGGGCCCGCGGCCUAUCAGCUUGUUGGUGGGGUAAUGGCCUACCAAGGCGAAGACGGGUAGCCGGCCUGAGAGGGUGAUCGGCCACACUGGGACUGAGAUACGGCCCAGACUCCUACGGGAGGCAGCAGUGGGGAAUAUUGCACAAUGGGCGGAAGCCUGAUGCAGCAACGCCGCGUGAGGGAUGACGGCCUUCGGGUUGUAAACCUCUUUCAGCUCCGACGAAGCGGAAGUGACGGUAGGGGCAGAAGAAGCACCGGCCAACUACGUG